GACGAACGCUGGCGGCGUGCUUAACACAUGCAAGUCGAACGGAAAGGCCCUGCUCUUGCGGGGUGCUCGAGUGGCGAACGGGUGAGUAACACGCGUGUAACCUGCCCCUGACUGUGGGAUAACUUCAGGAAACUGGGGCUAAUAUAGGAUAGGAGCUCCUGCUGCAUGGUGGGGGAUGGAAAGUUUCGGCGGUUGGGGCUGGACUCGCGGGUUAUCAGCUUGUUGGUGGGGUAGUGGCUUACCAAGGCUUUGACGGGUAGCCGGCCUGGGAGGGUGACCGGCCACCUUGGGCCUGAGAUACGGCGCAGACUCCUACGGGCGGCAGCAGUGGAGAGUAUUACACAAUGAGCGGAAGCCUGAUGCAGCAACGCCGCGUGCGGGAUGACGGCCUUCGGGUUGUAAACCGCUUUCGCCUGUGACGAAGCGUGAGUGACGGUAAUGGGUAAAGAAGCCCCGGCUAACUACGUG
rnacentral:rRNA from 1 species